GACGAGGUGGACCAGUGGUUAAAGCGAUGGACUGCUAAUCAAUUGGGCUCUGCCCGCAUGGGUUCGGAUCCCAUCCUCGUCG